rnacentral:rRNA from 1 species
UAGGGUGUGGAAACCCCAGCGCGAAAUGAAAGUGAAGGGCAGCGU